rnacentral:misc_RNA from 1 species
AGCUGGACCGCAAGUUUUUGCGCUACAGCUGCACAAAAACAGUCUCAGUUCGGAUUGAAGUCUGCAACUCGACUUCAUGAAGUUGGAAUCGCUAGUAAUCGCGAAUCAGCAUGUCGCGGUGAAUACGUUCUCGGGGUUUGUACACACCGCCCGUCAAACCACGAAAGUUGGCAAUACCCAAAGCCGGUGGCCUAACUUCGCAAGAAGAGGGAACCGUCUAAGGUAGGGUCGAUGAUUGGGGUUAAGUCGUAACAAGGUAUCCCUACCGGAAGGUGGGGAUGGAUCACCUCCUUUCUAAGGAAACAAUUAUCAUCUUCAGUUUUGAGAGACUUAAGAAAGUUUUUCAUUGUAACUUGCUUGCAAAUUGUAUUUGCAACAUUUUAAUCUUUUUAAGAUUAAGGGCCUAUAGCUCAGUUGGUUAGAGCACACGCCUGAUAAGCGUGAGGUCGGUGGUUCGAGUCCAUUUAGGCCCACCAAACCACAAA